GAUGAACGCUGGCGGCGUGCCUAAUACAUGCAAGUCGAGCGAACAGACGAGAAGCUUGCUCUCUUACCGUUAGCGACUGACGGGCGGGUAAGAAGUGGAUCAGCAUCUACUUUGACUGGGAGAAUUACGGAAAAAAGGAGAUACUAAUAGCUAAUAUAUCCUACGGGUUGAAUCAGUAGUGCUUGACGCCUUUGCUGAUUCUAUUAGCCGGAGUCGGGUCGCAUUAGCUAGUUGGUAAGGUAACGGCAAACCAAGGCGACGAUGCGUAGCUGACCUGAGAGGGUGAUCAGCCACACUGGAACUGAGACACGGUCCAGACUCCUACGGGAGGCAGCAGUAGGGAAUCUUCCGCAAUGGGCGAAAGCCUGACGGAGCAACACCGCGUGAGUGAAGAAGGCCUUCGGGUCGUAAAACUCUUUUAUUGGGGAAGAAAAGAUGUAGAAUAAACUACGCACGUCUUGACGGUACCUAAACAGAAAGCCACGGCUAACUACGUG
rnacentral:rRNA from 1 species